AUUGAACGCUGGCGGCAUGCCUUACACAUGCAAGUCGAACGGCAGCACGGGAGCAAUCCUGGUGGCGAGUGGCGAACGGGUGAGUAAUAUAUCGGAACGUGCCCAGUCUGGGGGAUAACGUAGCGAAAGCUACGCUAAUACCGCAUACGAUCUAUGGAUGAAAGCGGGGGAUCGCAAGACCUCGCGCGAUUGGAGCGGCCGAUAUCAGAUUAGGUAGUUGGUGAGGUAAAGGCUCACCAAGCCGACGAUCUGUAGCUGGUCUGAGAGGACGACCAGCCACACUGGGACUGAGACACGGCCCAGACUCCUACGGGAGGCAGCAGUGGGGAAUUUUUGGACAAUGGGCGCAAGCCUGAUCCAGCAAUGCCGCGUGCAGGAUGAAGGCCUUCGGGUUGUAAACUGCUUUUGUACGGAACGAAACGGUGAGCUCUAAUACAGUUUGCUAAUGACGGUACCGUAAGAAUAAGCACCGGCUAACUACGUG
rnacentral:rRNA from 1 species